rnacentral:lncRNA from 1 species
GGCGGGGGAGGCGGGGCCUGGGGCGCUGCCGCGGGAGCUGCUCCGGGCGCCUGAGCGGUGGCGGCCACGGCGAGGAGCGCGAGGACGGAGAGGAUGGUGAGCUGAGAAGCGGCCAUUGUGCAAGCAAACCUUGGGUGGUUUCUUGGUGGCUCGCUUCUCGCUUCCUCUGCCUGCGCUGUGAGCUGAAAUGUGUGUGUGUGUGGGUGGGGGAGCGAUGGAGAGGCGCGGCGGGGCUUAUAAAGGAGGGCCGGAACUGAGCUGUGCGGUGGCGUUGCGUGGGACAGCGCCGAUGCAUUGUGCAGUAGCGGCUUGCAUGAUUGUUGGGUUGGCAUCUCUCCCACUCUCUCCCUCUCUCUCAUUAUUGAUUGAUGCUUUCUUUUUCUUCGGUAGGAAUCUUGAGGGAAAUCGAAUAAUGGGUGCGAUGAUGAACUGGUCGUAUAAUUGGGUUGGAAUAUAAAUGGGAAACUGUUUAUCGUAUUGAUAAUGAAGUGGUUUGGUUAAAAAAUGAUAAUGAGGUAGUUUGGUAAGAAAAAUGGGAUUAAUAACUAUUGGAUAUCUAGACAUGGUGGAUUGGAUUAUAAAUGGAACACUGUUUUAUUCCGCUAUCGUAAUGAUAAUGAAGUAGUUCAGUUAAAAAAUGAUAAUGAGGUAGUUUGGUAAGAAAAAAAUGGGAUUUAUAAUGGUUGGAUAUCUAGACAUGGUAGAUGGUGCUACCCGACGGUGAACACAGGCGGUGCUGCUUCUUCUGAACGCAACAGCUAAGAUCAACUCUAUUGGAGUCUUCCGGUUGUUCUCGGUCUCUGACGACGACGACAUGGACGGCGCCUCGACCUCCGUCUUUGAUUCCAUUAUUUAGGUGGUGGAUCCCAUGUGUCCUAUGGGUCCCACGCCACAACCUACUUCUGCACCUCUUGGGUUUCCAACAGUGGACCAUCACCACCUAAAUCGUCAAAGAGUUUGGCACAGAGGUGGCAGAGAAGGGACCAAAGAAGAAGACGGAGAAGGCUCGUGACCAUCUCAUCAUCGCUUCCUUCCGGCGACUUGCGAAACUAUGGCGCCUUUAAAGUCGUAUACACUGGGCCAGAAACAACGAUGAGGUAUAAAAAAAUUACCAUUUACCUUGUAUUUGGGUUCUUUGUCGAUUAAAUGCAACGUGGUUAUUGAAAAUUGCAGGGGAAAUGUGCAAUGUUUGCGAUUUAACGAUUUCUAAGUUUGGAGGGAUCGAUCUUUCACAAGGAAUCAAUUAUCAAUAGUAGGUUUGGUCAUUCCGUAACAAAUUAUGUCAAUCUCAAGGCCGUAUUGUUGCCACUUUUAGAUCAUCAGUUCGGACAAAAAUUAAAUUUGAUCAAUUGGAGGUUAUGGAUUGCGGAGGAAGAAAAUAGUUCGGGGAACUAACUUUAAGGCUAACGAGUAUAUUUUGAUUGUGUUGGCAUGGAAAGAUAUAUCUUUUGACGUGGUUGUCUGGAAAGAAAAAUCCAAGCGCAAAAUAGUGAAAGUGCACCAAGGAACGUUUCAAAUAUCAUCAUUAGGCGGAGAACGGAUCAUACCUUCAAAUCUCUCACAAAUCGAUGAGGUGACUUCAAAUCUAGGACAGAGGGAAAUCCACCACUAGAGCCAUCUUCAUCAACCUUGUCGCCUUCAUGGUCAUGUGUGAGUAGUUUCCUUAGGAGCUUAGUGUCCAUAGAAGUAUCUAGAUGGCAUCCUCUCUCCCUUGUGAUUCGAUAUAAAAUUUCUAUGAGCUGCCUCAUAUGAUUGGGAUGCAUAUAAUGUAAUCGGUGGUUGUGUUUGUUGGAAUAUGAUGAAUUGUCACUUUAUGAUCAGAUUGUUCACUAAAUUAUAUUGAAUCUUUUGAAGCUUUUGGCCGCAUAAUUUAGUAGCCAUGCUUGUCGUCUCUGUCCAAGAUUGUUAGGUAGUUCUUCACAGGGAGUUGUGCAUUGUAAUGGGUUCAAUCUUGAAGUGAUCUAUCCGAGUGACAGAAAGGGAACGAACAUGUAUUCUAUUCUUGCCAUUAAGGAUACAACGAUGGUUUAUUUAUCACAUUUAGAUGAUAGUUUUACUGUCUAUAUUAUGCCAUCAUGAAUGUUGCAAUGCUAUGCUUAUCAUGAACUUAAUACUUCGAGAUGCAUACUGGAUAGUGAUACGUCCAUUUUGCAUCAUGUUUCCUUACUGUUAUUUAUGAUGUUUUUAUGCAUAAUAAUGCUUUUUGGAGUAAUUAUAAUACCUUUUCUCUCAUGAUUUACAAGGUACACACAAAGAGGGAGAAUUCCGAUAGCUGGAAAUCUGGACCUGGAAAAGCUACGUCAGGCCACCUAUUAUGCACAACUCCAAACAAGUAGAAACUUCACGGAGAUUUUUUAUCAAAUAUAUGAUGAAUAUUGGAGCAAAUAACUAUCAGAGGGGGCCCACCAGGUGGGCACAACCCACCUGGGCGCGCCAGGGAGCCCAGGCGCACCGUGGUGGGUUGUGCUCACCCAGGCCCACCUCUGGUGCCCAUCUUCUGGUAUAUAGGUCAUUUUAACCUAGAAAAAAUAAGGAGGGGACUUUCGAGACAGAGCACCGCCAUCUCGAUGUGGAACUUGGGCAAGAGCACUUUUGUCCUCCGGCGGAGUGAUUUCGCUGGGGGGAUGAUACGUCCAUUUUGCAUCAUGCUUUUAUAUCGAUAUUUAUUGCAUUAUGGGCUGUUAUUACACAUGAUGUCAUAAUACUUAUGCCUAUUCUCUCUUAUUUUACAAGGUUUACAUGAAGAGGGAGAAUGUCGGCAGCUGGGAUUCUGGGCUGGAAAAGGAGCAAAUAUUAGAGACCCAUUCUGCAUAGCUCCAAAAGUCCUGAAACUUCACGGAAAUUAUUUCCAGAAUAUAUAAAAAAUACUGAGCGCAAGAAUUACCAGAGGGGGGCCACGCACCAGCCACGAGGGUGGGGGGGCGCGCCCUACCCCCCUGGGCGCGCCCCCUGCCUCGUGGGCCCCCUGGUGGCCCUCCGAUGCCCAUCUUCUGCUAUAUGAAGUCUUUCAUCCGAGAAAAAAUCAUAAGCAAGCUUACGGGACGAAACUCCGCCUCCACGAGGCGGAACCUUGGCGGAACCAAUCUAGGGCUCCGGCAGAGCCGUUCUGUCGGGGCCACUUCCCUCCGGGAGGGGGAAAUCAUCACCAUCGUCAUCACCAACGAUCCUCUCAUCGGGAGGGGGUCAAUCUCCAUCAACAUCUUCACCAGCACCAUCUCAUCUCAAACCCCAUUUCAUCUCUUGUAUCCAAUCUUUGUAUCCAAACCUCAGAUUGGUACGUGUGGGUUGCUAGUAGUGUUGAUUACUCCUUGUAGUUGAUGCUAGUUGGUUUACUUGGUGGAAGAUCAUAUGUUCAGAUCCAUUAUGCAUAUUAAUACCCCUCUGAUUAUGAACAUGAAUAUGCUUUAUGAGUAGUUACAUUUGUUCCUGAGGACAUUGGAGAAGUCUGGCUAUUAGUAGUCAUGUGAAUUUGGUAUUCGUUCGAUAUUUUGAUGAGAUGUAUGUUGUCAUCCCUCUAGUGGUGUCAUGUGAACGUCGACUACAUGACACUUCACCAUUGUUUGGGCCUAGAGGGAGGCAUUGGGAAGUAAUAAGUAGAUGAUGGGUUGCUAGAGUGACAGAAGCUUAAACCCUAGUUUAUGCGUUGCUUCGUAAGGGGCUGAUUUGGAUCCAUAUGUUUCAUGUUGUGGUUAGGUUUACCUUAAUACUUCUUUUGUAGUUGCGGAUGCUUGCAAUAGGAGUUAGUCAUAAGUGGGAUGUUUGUCCAAGUAAGGACAACACCCAAGAACCGGUCCACCCACAUAUCAAAUUAUCAAAGUACUGAAUGCGAAUCAUAUGAACGUGAUGAAAACUAGCUUGACGAUAAUUUCCAUGCAUGUAUCCUCGGGAGCGCUUUCCUUCAUAUAAGAGUUUUUCCAGGCUUGUCCUUUGCUACAAAAAGGAUUGAGCCAUCUUGCUGCACCUUAUUUACUUUUAUUACUUGCUACUCGUUACAAAUUACCUUAUCACAAAACUAUCUGUUACCGAUAAUUUCAGUGCUUGCAGAGAAUACCUUGCUGAAAACCGCUUAUCAUUUCCUUCUGCUCCUCGUUGGGUUCGACACUCUUACUUAUCGAAAAGGCUACGAUAGAUCCCCUACACUUGUGGGUCAUCAAGACUCUUUUCUGGCGCCAUUGCUGGGGAGUGAAGCUCCUUUGGUAGGUGGAAUUUGGUAAGGAAAAAUUUAUAUAGUGUGCUGAAAUUUACUGUCACUUGUUACCAUGGAACAUAAUCCUUUGUGGGGUUUGUUCGGGGUAUCUUCACCUCGUCCGGAACCACAAUUAGUUACCACUCAACCUACUGAACCUACUGAAAAAUGUUUACUUUGAAAUUCCUUCGGGUAUGAUAGAGAAACUGCUAGCUAAUCCUUUUACAGGAGAGGGAACAUUGCAUCCCGAUUUGCACUUAAUCUAUGUGGAUGAAGAUAGUGGAUUAUUUAAGCUUGCAGGUAUGCCCGAUGAUGUUAUCAAGAAGAAGGUCUUUCCUUUAUCUUUGAAGGGAGAUGCAUUGACAUAGUAUAGGCUAUGUGAUGAUAUGGUAUCAUGGGACUAUAAGCGAUUGAAAUUGGAAUUUCACCAGAAGUUUUAUCCUAUGCAUCUUGUCAUCGUGAUCGUAAUUUUAUAUAUAAUUUUUGGCCUCGCGAAGGAGAAAUCAUCGCUCAAGCUUGGGGGAGGCUUAAGUCAAUGUUAUAUUCAUGCCCCAAUCAUGAGCUCUCAAGAGAAAUGAUUAUUCAAAAAAAUUAUGCUCGACUUUCUGACAACAAUCGCUCCAUGCUCGAUACUUCUUGUACUUGUUCCUUUAUGAUGAAGACUAUUGAACUCAAAUGGAAUUUAUUGGAGAGAAUUAAACGCAACUCUAAAGAUUGGGAUCUCGACAAAGGUAAGGAGUCAGGUAUAACACCUAAGUUUGAUUGUGUUAAAUCUUUUAUGGAUACCGAUGCUUUCCGUAAAUUUAGCACUAAAUAUGGACUUGACUCUGAGAUAGUAGCUUCUUUCUGUGAAUCCUUUGCUACUCAUGUUGAUAUCCCUAAGGAGAAGUGGUUUAAAUAUAAUCCUCCCAUUGAAGUAAAAGUAGUUGCACCUGUUAAAGUUGAAGAAAAGACUAUCACUUAUAAUGAUCCUAUAGUUCCUACUGCUUAUGUUGAGAAACCACCUUUCCCUGUUAGAAUUAAGGAUCAUGCUAAAGCUUCAACUGUAGUCAACAAGAGUAAUAUUAGGACACACAAACCCCUGAGCAAAUUAAAGUUGAACCUAAUAUUGCUAUGGUUAAAGAUCUCUUGUCGAUAAUAUUGAUGGGCAUGUUAUUUAUUUCUGUGAAGAAACUGCUAGAAUUGCUAAACCUGGUGCUAAAGAUAAACAUAGACCUGUGGUAGGCAUGCCUAUUAUUUUUGUUAAAAUAGGAGAUCGUUGUUAUCAUGGCUUGUGUGAUAUGUAUGCUAGUGCUAGUGCAAUACCUAUUUCCUUAUACAAAGAAAUUAUGCAUGAUAUUGCACCUGCUGAGAUAGAAGAUAUAGAUGUUACAAUUAAGCUUGCCAAUAGAGAUACUAUUUCACCAAUUGGGAUUGUUAGAGACGUUGAAGUCUUGUGUGGGAAGGCUAAAUAUCCUACUGAUUUCAUUGUUCUUGGUUCCCCUCAAGAUAGCUUUUGUCCCAUUAUAUUUGGUAGACCCUUCUUGAAUACUGUUAAUGCUAAGAUAGAUUGCAAGAAGGAUGUUGUUACUAUUGGUUUGGAUGAUAUGUCUCAUGAUUUUAAUUUUUCUAAAUUUCGUAGACAACCCCGUGAUGAAGAAUUGCCUAGUAAAGAUGAAAUUAUUGGUCUUGCUUCUAUUGUUGUGCCUCCUAAUGAUCCUUUAGAACAAUAUUUACUAGACCAUGAGAAUGACAUGUUUAUGAAUGAAAGAAGGGAAAUAGAUGAAGUAUUAUUUAAACAAGGACCCAUUCUGAAACACAAUUUGCCUGUUGAAAUCCUAGGGGAUCCUCCUCCACCCAAGGGUGAUCCCGUGUUUGAGCUUAAACCAUUGCCUGAUACUCUUAAAUAUGCUUAUCUUGACGAAAAGAAGAUAUAUCAUGUUAUUAUUAGUGCUAACCGUUCAGAGCAUGAAGAAAAUAAAUUAUUGAAAACUCUGAAGAAGCACCGUGCUGCUAUUGGAUAUACUCUUGAUGAUCUUAAGGGCAUUAGUCUCACUCUAUGUCAACACAAAAUAAAUUUGGAAAAAGAUGCCAAACCAGUUAUUGAUCACCAACGACGGCUAAACCCUAAGAUGAAAGAAGUGGUAAGAAAGGAAAUAUUAAAACUCCUUGAGGUAGGUAUAAUUUAUCCAGUUGCUGAUAGUCAGUGGGUAAGUCCUGUCCAUUGUGUCCCUAAGAAGGGAGGUAUUACUGUUGUUCCUAAUGAUAAAGAUGAAUUGAUCUCGCAAAGAAUUAUUACAGGUUAUAGGAUGGUAAUUGAUUUCCAUAAAUUAAAUAAAGCUACUAAAAAAGAUCAUUACCCUUUGCCUUUUAUUGAUCAAAUGCUAGAAAGAUUAUCCAAACAUACACAUUUUUGCUUUCGAGAUGGUUACUCUGGCUUCUCUCAAAUACAUGUGUCAGCUGAUGAUCAAGCAAAUACCACUUUUACUUGCCCUUUCGGUACUUUUGCUUAUAGACGUACGCCUUUUGGUUUAUGUAAUGCACUUGCUACCUUUCAAAGAUGCAUGAUGGCUAUAUUUUCUGACUUUUGUGAAAAGAUAUGCGAGGUUUUCAGGGACGAUUUCUCUGUUUAUGGAUCAUCUUUUGGUGAUUGCUUGAGCAACCUUGAUCGAGUUUUGCAGAGAUGUGAAGAAACUAAUCUUGUUCUGAAUUGGGAGAAAUGCCACUUUAUGGUUAAUGAAGGUAUUGUCUUGGGGCAUAAAAUUUCUGAAAGAGGCAUUGAAGUUGACAAAGCUAAAGUUGAUGCUAUUGAAAAGAUGCCAUGUCCCAAGGACAUUAAAGGUAUAAGAAGCUUCCUCGGUCAUGCCAGUUUUAUAGGAGGUUCAUUAAGGACUUCUCAAAAAUUUCUCGGCCUCUGACUAAUCUAUUACAAAAAGAUAUCCCUUUUGUCUUUGAUGAUGAUUGUGUAGAAGCAUUUGAAAUACUUAAGAAAGCAUUGAUUUAUGCACCUAUUGUUCAGCCACCUGAUUGGAAUUUACCCUUUGAAAUUAUGUGUGAUGCUAGUGAUUAUGAUGUAGGUGAUGUUCUAGGGCAAAGAGUUGAUAAGAAAUUAAAUGUUAUUCAAAAUGCUAGUAAAACUCUAGACAAUGCCAAAAAAAUUGUGCUACCACUGAAAAAGAAUUUUUAGCAGUUGUAUUUGCUUGUGAUAAGUUCAGACCUUAUAUUGUUGAUUCUAAAGUAACUAUUCACACUGAUCAUGCUGUUAUUAAAUAUCUUAUGGAAAAGAAAGAUGCUAAACCUAGAAUUAUUAGAUGGGUUCUCUUGCUACAAGAAUUUGAUUUGCAUAUUAUUGAUAGAAAGGGAGCUGAGAACCCUGUUGCAGACAACUUAUCUAGGUUAGAAAAUGUUCUUGGUGACCCACGACCUAUUGAUGAUAGCUUUCCUGAUGAACAGUUAAAUGUCAGAAAUGCUUCUCGUAUUGCUCCGUGGUAUGUUGAUUAUGCUAAUUAUAUUGUUGCUAAAUUUAUACCACCUAGUUUCACAUACCAACAAAAGAAAAGGUUCUUCUAUGAUUUAAGGCAUUACUUUUGGGAUGACCCACAUCUUUAUAAAGAAGGAGUAGAUGGUGUUAUUAGACGUUGUGUACCUGAGCAUGAACAAGAACAGAUCAUACGCAAGUGUCACUCCAAAGCCUAUGGGGGACACCAUGCUGGAGAUAGAACUGCACAUAAGGUAUUGCAAUCCUGUUUUUAUUGGCCUAUUCUCUUCAAGGAUGCCCGUAAGUUUGUCUUGUCUUGUGAUGAAUGUCAAAGAAUUGGUAAUAUUAGUAGACGUCAAGAAAUGCCUAUGAAUUAUUCACUUGUUAUUGAACCAUUUGAUGUUUGGGGCUUUGAUUAUAUGGGACCUUUUCCUUCCUCUAACGCGUAUACACAUAUUUUAGUCGCUGUUGAUUACGUUACUAAGUGGGUAGAAGCUAUUCCAACUAGUAGUGCUGAUCAUAACACCUCUAGUAAGAUGCUUAAAGAAGUUAUUUUCCCGAGGUUUGGAGUCCCUAGAUAUUUAAUGACUGAUGGUGGCUCACAUUUUAUUCAUGAUGCCUUUCAUAAAAUGCUUGCUAAGUAUGAUGUUAAUCAUAGAAUUGCAUCUCCAUAUCACCCACAGUCUAGUGGUCAAGUAGAAUUGAGUAACAGAGAGCUCAAAUUAAUUUGCAAAAGACUGUUGAUAGAUCUAGAAAGAAUUGGUCCAAGAAACUUGAUGAUGCACUAUGGGCCAAUAGAACUGCAUACAAAAAUCCUAUGGGUAUGUCUCCGUAUAAAAUGGUUUAUGGUAAAGCAUGUCACUUACCUCUCGAAUUAGAACAUAAGGCAUAUUGGGCUAUUAAAGAGCUCAACUAUGACUUCAAACUUGCUGGUGAGAAGAGGCUUUUUGACAUUAGCUCACUUGAUGAAUGGAGAACCCAGGCUUAUGAAAAUGCUAAGUUGUUUAAAGAAAAAGUUAAAAGAUGGCAUGAUAAAAGGAUACAAAAGCGUGAGUUCAAUGUAGGUGAUUAUGUAUUGCUAUACAACUCUCGUUUAAGAUUUUUUGCAGGCAAACUUCUCUCUAAAUGGGAAGGUCCUUACGUUACCGAGGAGGUCUAUUGUUCCGGUGCCAUAAAAAUCAACAACUUUGAAGGCACAAAUCUGAGCAUGGUGAACUGUCAAAGAAUCGAACAUUAUAUCUCAGGUAACCCCAUAAAUGUUGAAACUAAUGUUAUUGAAACCGUAACCCUGGAGGAAUACAUAAGGGACACUUCCCAGAAUGUUUCAGACCCCGAAAAGGAAUAGGUAUGUGGUACGGUAAGUAAACCGACUCCAAAACAGUUAUAAUGGCAAUUUUCCCUGUUUUGGAAUAUUUAGAAAAAUAGGAAAAUAAGAAGCAGUUCGGGAAGGACACGAAGCUUCCACGAGGGUGGGAGGCGCGCCCUACCCCCCUGGGCGCGCCCCCUGCCUCGUGGGCACCUCAUGUGCUCUCUGGACUCCGUUUUCUUGCACGAUACUUCUAUUGGUCGGUAAAAAAUCAUUAUAUAAUCUCCCGAAGGUUUUGACCAGCAUAUCACGCAAAUAUCUCUUGUCUUUGUUUCGAGCUGUUUUUCUGACAGAUCUAGGUCGUCAUGUCGUCUUCAAGUGCCCCCAAGGACAAGUUCUUCGAGAAGGUCAUCAACCCCUACCUCGCGGAGGUGCUGCAACACCCUCAAACCAUUGAGAUGCGUGAGGGGUUGUUGCACAUCCACGAUGUUGAGGGACCAAGGAGGAUCGGAAGCACGGAGGCAAGGCUCGAGGCAUUGGAGCAACAAGUUUUCAAGUGUCAGGAGAUGGUGGAGCAUGGACUCGACUCCAAUCACAUUAUGAUCAUGGAGUUCACCAACAACCACAAGCUGGACGUCAGGGACAUUGGGGAGGCCAUCUUCAAGCUUCAUGAGAAAAUCGAGCACCUCCAAGCCCAGAUCUAUGACCCGCAAAAUCAAAACUGUGAGUAUGAAUAUAUAUUCAAGAGGAUGAGUUUGGCUGCAGAUUUGAGGAUUUAGGAGACUCGAUCAUCCUUCUAUGAUGGUGAGCCUAUGCAUUGGAAGAGGGACGACAAGCCUACAUCAUCAACAACUCCACCUUCUUCACCAACAAAGAAGAACUGAGUAUCGGGUAUGGGCACUCCCCUUGGCAACUGCCAAGCUUGGGGGAGUGCCCCGGUAUCGUAUCACCAUCACAACUUUUAUCUUUACCGUUUUUCUUAGUUCGAUCAUUUUGAUAAUAUCUUGAUAUAGUAGAAUAAAGUUUUAGUAUGAUCUAGUUGUGAGUUUUGCUUUAUGAUCCUUCUAUGUAAUCGAGUCUGUGAGCUAUAUAAUAGAGAUUAGUGUUGAGUCAAGGGCCUGGUUAUUUUUCUAUGAUAUUGAGGGAAUAAAAUAAAAAGAGAAAGAAAUAAAGAGAUCAUAUGGAUCUUAUAGAGAAUAAUGAGCUCACAUAUAAAGAGUAUGAUGAAUAAAAGUUGUUGAGAGUUAACAAACAUAGUUUUGGUCAUCAUUGCAAUUAAUAGGAAGUAAUAAAGAAAGAGAGGUUCACAUAUAAAUAUACUAUCUUGGACAUCUUUUAUGAUUGUGAGCACUCAUGAAAGUAUGGUAUGCUAAAGAGUUGACGUUGGACAAGGAAGACAACGUAAUGGGUUAUGUUUUCUUUCAUCUAAGAUAAAUUAUAUUGUCAUGGAUCAUCCAACAUGUUGAUCUUGCCUUUCUCCCUCAUGCUAGCCAAUUCUUUUGCACCAAGUAGAAAUACCACUUGUGCUUCCAAAUACCCUUAAAACCAGUUUUGCCAUGAGAGUCCACCAUAUCUACCUAUGGAUUGAGUAAGAUCCUUCAAGUAAGUUAUCAUCGGUGCAAGCAAUAAAAAAUGCUCUCUAAAUAUGCAUGACAUAUUAGUGUGGGAGAAAAUAAGCUUUAUACGAUCUUGUGAUGUGGAAGAAAUAAAAGCGACGGACUGCAUAAUAAAGGUCCAUAUCACAAGUGGCAAUAUAAAGUGACGUUAUUUUGCAUUAAGAUUUUGUGCAUCCAACCAUAAAAGCGCAUGACAACCUCUGCUUCCCUCUGCGAAGGGCCUAUCUUUUACUUUUAUCUUCUACCUUAUAUAAGAGUCAUGGUGAUCUUCACCUUUCCUUUUACAUUUUAUCCUUUGGCAAGCACAAUGUGUUGGAAAGAUCCUGAUAUAUAUAGCUAAUUGGAUGUGAGUCUUCAUGAACUAUUAUUGUUGACAUUACCCUUGAGGUAAAACGUUGGGAGGCAAAACUAUAAGCCCCUAUCUUUCUCUGUGUCCAAUUAAAACUUCAUACCCAUAAAUAUUGCGUGAGUGUUAGCAAUUGUGAAAUACUAAAAGAUGGUUGAGUAUGUGGACUUGCUGAAAAGUUCUUAUAUUGACUCUUUCCUAUGUUAUGAUAAAUUGCAAUUGCCUCAAUGACUGAGAUUAGAGUUUGUUGGUUCUCAAUGAAGUUUAUGAUUCAUACUUGAAAUUGUGAUUGAAUUGUUACUUUAGCAUAAAGAUCAUAUGAAAAAAAAUUGUUGUUCUAAGAACGAUCAUGAUGCCCUCAUGUCUGUAUUUUAUUUUUAUCGACACCUCUAUCUCUAAACACGUGGACAUAUUUUUUGAUUUCGGCUUUCGCUUGAGGACAAGCGAGGUCUAAGUUUGGGGGAGUUGAUACGUCCCUUUUGCAUCAUGCUUUUAUAUCGAUAUUUAUUGCAUUAUGGGUUGUUAUUACACAUUAUAUUACAAUACUUAUGCCUAUUCUCUCUUAUUUUACAAGGUUUACAUGAAGAGGGAGAAUGUCGGUAGCUAGGAUUCUGGGCUGGAAAAGGAGCAAAUAUUAGAGACAUAUUCUGCACAGCUCCAAAAGUCCUGAAACUUCAUGGAAGUAAUUUCCAGAAUAUAUAAAAAAUACUGAGCGCAAGAAGUACCAGAGGGGGGCCACCCACUAGCCACGAGGGUGGGGGCGCGCCCUACCCCCUAGGCACGCCCCCCUGCCUCGUGGCCCCCUGGUGGCCCUCCGAUGCUCAUCUUCUGCUAUAUGAAGUCUUUCGUCCGAGAAAAAAUCAUAAGAAAGCUUACGGGACAAAAGUCCGCCACCACGAGGCGGAACCAAUCUAGGGCUCCGGCAGAGCUGUUCUGCCGGGGACACUUCCCUCCGGGAGGAGGAAAUCAUCACCAUCGUCAUCACCAACAAUCCUCUCAUCGUGAGGGGGUCAAUCUCCAUCAGCAUCUUCACCAGCACCAUCUCAUCUCAAACCCUAGUUCACCUCUUGUAUCCAAUCUUUGUAUCCAAACCUCAGAUUGGUACCUAUGGGUUGCUAGUAGUGUUGAUUACUCCUUGUAGUUGAUGCUAGUUGGUUUACUUGGUGGAAGAUCAUAUGUUCAGAUCCAUUAUGCAUAUUAAUACCCCUCUGAUUAUGAACAUGAAUAUGCUUUGUGAGUAGUUACAUUUGUUCCUGGGGACAUGGGAGAAGUCUGGCUAUUAGUAGUCAUGUGAAUUUGGUAUUCGUUCGAUAUUUUGAUGAGAUGUAUGUUGUCAUCCCUCUAGUGGUGUCAUGUGAACGUCGACUACAUGACACUUCACCAUUGUUUGGGCCUAGAGGGAGGCAUUGGGAAGUAAUAAGUAGAUGAUGGGUUGCUAGAGUGACAGAAGCUUAAACCCUAGUUUAUGCGUUGCUUCGUAAGGGGUUGAUUUGGAUCCAUAUGUUUCAUGAUGUGGUUAGGUUUACCUUAAUACUUCUUUUGUAGUUGUGGAUGCUUGCAAUAGGAGUUAAUCAUAAGUGGGAUGUUUGUCCAAGUAAGGACAACACCCAAGCACCGGUCCACCCACAUAUCAAAUUAUCAAAGUAUUGAACGCGAAUCAUAUGAACGUGAUAAAAACUAGCUUGACGAUAAUUCCCAUGUGUCCUCGGGAGCGCUUUCCUUCAUAUAAGAGUUUGUCCAGGCUUGUCCUUUGCUACAAAAAGGAUUGGGCCAUCUUGCCGCACCUUAUUUACUUUUAUUACUUGCUACUCAUUACAAAUUACCUUAUCACAAAACUAUCUGUUACCGAUAAUUUCAGUGCUUGUAGAGAACACCUUGCUGAAAACCGCUUAUAAUUUCCUUUUGCUCCUCGUUGGGUUUGACACUCUUACUUAUCGAAAAGGCUACGAUAGAUCCUACACUUGUGGGUCAUCAAGGAACUUCCCUCCUGGAGGGGGAAAUCAUCAUCAUCAUCAUGACCAACAACUCUUCCAUCUUGGGGAGGGCAAUCUCCAUCAACAUCUUGAACAACACCAUCUCAUCUCAAACCCUAGUUCAUCUCUUGUGUUCAAUCUUGCUACCGGAAUUAUAGAUUUGUGCUUGUGGGUGACUAGUAGUGUUGAUUACAUCUUGUAGUUGAUUACUAUAUGGUUUAUCUGCUGGAAGAUUAUAUGUUCAGAUCCAAUAGGCUAUUUAAUACCCCUCUGAUCUUGAGCGUGAUUAUCAUUUGUGAGUAGUUAUUUGUUCUUGAGGUCAUGGGAGAAAUCAUGUUGCAAGUAAUCAUCUGAACUUGAUAUGUGUUCGAUAUUUUGAUAGUAUGUAUGUUGUGAUUCCCUUAGUGGAGUCAUGUGAACGUCGACUACAUGACACUUCACCAUAUUUGGGCCUAAGGGAAUGCAUUGUGGAGUAGCAAUUAGAUGAUGGGUUGCGAGAGUAACAGAAGCUUAAACCCCAGUUAAUGCGCUAUUCCGUAAGGGACCGAUUGGAUCCAAAAGUUUAAUGCUAUGGUUAGAAUUUAUUCUUAAUACUUUUCUCAUAGUUGUGGAUGCUUGCGGGGGGGGNNNNNNNNNNNNNNNNNNNNNNNNNNNNNNNNNNNNNNNNNNNNNNNNNNNNNNNNNNNNNNNNNNNNNNNNNNNNNNNNNNNNNNNNNNNNNNNNNNNNNNNNNNNNNNNNNNNNNNNNNNNNNNNNNNNNNNNNNNNNNNNNNNNNNNNNNNNNNNNNNNNNNNNNNNNNNNNNNNNNNNNNNNNNNNNNNNNNNNNNNNNNNNNNNNNNNNNNNNNNNNNNNNNNNNNNNNNNNNNNNNNNNNNNNNNNNNNNNNNNNNNNNNNNNNNNNNNNNNNNUCAUAAGUAGGAGGUUUGUUCAAGUAAGUAUAACACCUAAGCACCGGUCCACCUACAUAUCAAAUUAUCAAAGUACCGAACACGAAUUAAACCAACAUGAUGAAAGUGACUAGAUGAAAAUCCUGUGUACCCUCAAGAACGCUUUUCUUAUCAUAAGAGACCGUUUUGGCCUGUCCUUUGCCUAAAAAAGGAUUGGGCUACCUUGCUGCACUUUUAUUGCUACUAUCGUUACUUGCUCGUUACAAAUUAUCUUGCUAUCAAACUACUCCGCUACUUACAAUUUCAGCACUUGCAGAUAUUACCUUGUUGAAAACCACUUGUCAUUUCCUUCUGCUCCUUGCUGGGUUCGACACUCUUACUUACCGAAAAGAGCUAUAAUUGAUCCCCUAUACAUGUGGGUCAUCAGAUAGCUGUCCUGGUGUGGGAUAUUAGUUGUAGAUGCGGUUAGAUAACGGUCUAUUCACGGACGUAAUUCUUAUACAAGAUUAUGCAAUAAAUGACCGUAGUCAUAAAUACUAGUAUUGUAAUCGAUGCCCACUAUAAUUUGUUCACCACACCACACUUAUUUGCUUAGAGAGACGUCACUAGUGAACCUAUGGCCCCGGGGUUCUAUUUUCCAUUAUUGAAAACAUCUACAAAAAUAUCAUUCUUUGUUGUACCGUUUUAUUUUAUUAUCUAUCAAUUCCUACCAUGCCAUGCAAUUUACCUUUGUAAGUAGCAGGACAAGAAUCAUGAUAACCUUCUUGAAAUGUUGGAUCAAGAUAGGGGCGAAGAUAGGAAAAAAGGUCAUCGGAGUCAACACGAACAAGCAGUACUAAUGUAGGCCCUCAAAAACAAGGAAAGAUAAUGUAUGGCUAAAAAUGUGCAACCCAUAUUGAGUACCAUGUUUAUUAUGUUUUUAGUAACCUCACAUUAAAUAAGACAUCAUAGUUGUCAAUGUAUCAUAACAAAAUAAGCUCUGGUUACAAAAAUAGUCAUUUCUCUAUUUUUUUCUUGACCUCCCUGAUCUUUUAUCUUCAAAAAGUAAAAUUCAUUUUGAUGGGAUGUGACUUGACGCUUAAUCUAGAUUUGCAUAAUCCAUGCGAUUGGAUUAUCCAUCGAGACCUUCAAGCAAUUAUAAGAAAAAAAAUCAACACGUUAAACAAACCCUAAGAUUAUAGGACAAUAAGAAUUUUUAGAUAAUAAGAGAAUAGGAAUUAUAAGAAGAAAUCGGCUUUAGUGUCACUUAGAGAUUGAAUCUGCAGAACGAAUCUUGACUACUUAUAGAAGAGAGGAGUGGAGAU